UGUAAGUGACUUGCAUAUGCUAACCCAUUUAGUUCUCAGGAUGACCUUAUAGGGAAGAGACUCUUACAGUUCUUUUCCUCUCUAUUUUAAAGAUGAAUAAAUGGAGGCACAGAGAAAUUAAGUAAAUGUUCCAGGAUCAAACAUCUGCCACAAGGAGUGCUCAUAAUGUUGAACUGAGGUAGUCUAGAACCUGCCUGAGUGGGGGCUUACUCUGCACAGUGACCUGCAGCCCGGGAUUCAGUUGGUGACAGUCACUGGAGGAAUCAUUUUGUGACAGAUGCUGCUUACAAGGAGAUCAUCCUUCCUAUUUAACUUGUGGGAGAUCAUUUAGAAGGUUUGCUGGACUUGGCUAUAUUAGUCCUUCAGCUCUCAAGUGCUUUCACAGAACUACACUGUGAUGCCUAUCCCAUUCAAGGAAGGCAAGAAGCAUGGGAGGAAUGUACUUCCUUCACUGUAAGUCCACUGAAAGGGAAGAUUCUCUCCUGCAU
rnacentral:lncRNA from 1 species